rnacentral:rRNA from 1 species
GACAGAGGAGGCGAGCGUUAUCCGGAGUUAUUGGGCGUAAAGGGUACGUAGGCGGCUUGAGAAGUCGCAGGUGAAAUCCCACGGCUCAACCGUGGAACUGCCUGCGAAACCAUCGGGCUUGAGGACAGGAGAGGGAAGCGGAAUUCCUGGUGUAGCGGUGAAAUGCGUAGAUAUCAGGAGGAACACCAGUGGCGAAGGCGGCUUUCUGGCCUGGUCCUGACGCUGAGGCGCGAAAGCUAGGGGAGCAAACAGG